GGCAACGUAGCCAAACGGUCUGAGGCGCCAGGUUCAGGUCCACCUGAAUUCACAUUCCUGGUCUCAGUAAUGGGGCGUGGGUUCGAAUCCCACCAUUGUCA
rnacentral:tRNA from 1 species